GGAGAGGUGUCCGAGCGGUUUAAGGAGCACGCUUGGAAAGCGUGUGUGCUUCACUGUACCCAGGGUUCGAAUCCCUGCCUCUCCGCCA
rnacentral:tRNA from 1 species